rnacentral:lncRNA from 1 species
UCCUGUUUCCGUACAUCGGACGGAUCAACGUCGUAAAAAAUGGUCAUCACAAUCUGCCCUUGAGACUGCUUCUUCGCACUUCAAGAUUUCAACCAAUUCAUCUAAACACCAGCUGGAAGAAGCGUACCUUCUUCGAGAGCACCACAAUCGAGACUCUAGAUUCUCUAAUCGCUUGUACGAGCUCAGGUCCAAUCGUGUGGCCUCUCUUGAUCUCCUGAUCAUUGAAAGUUGUGAUUCCUUUUGCUUGCGAAAUGACAGUGUAAAUGACUGAGAAACCCUCUACGGAAAUCUGGACCGUGAAAGCUCGAAAAGACAUGGAAUCUCUUCAUACGAGACGAAGAAAAAGAAGCCAUGAAACAGAUUGGUAAAUUUUGAGAUUGAAGAAGAAGGUACCACAAUGGUUUUGGAUAAGCAAUCUAUGGAGUAGAAAACAAGUCUCUCGCUUAUAUAAUUGAAGAAAACGCGUAACGAGAGGAUUGAAAUUUCAAAGGGAUUUGUCUCUCUGUAGAGAAAAAUACAAAAAAUGUUUCCCUCAAAGUCGUCGAUGACCCAUAAGAGUGUUUCCUCAUGGUCUUGAGAACCUCAUAAGGUUUUGAAUUUUUGGCAAUCGGAAUUUUAUUUCGUAGAGAUGAGCUCAGAGCUGAAGCAUGAGACUCGGUGAGAAGAUGAUCGGAGGAAGAAGAAAGAACCAGACAUGAUUCAAAAUUAGGGAUCUUAAAACUCUCGAUAUCCAAUUGUAAAUUUGGUUUGAAAAACUAAACCGGCCUUUUCAAUUCGAUCAAAAUUGGUUUUCUGGUUAGGUUUUCUGGUUAGAAACAAAAAAAGAAAUUAGAGAUUUUCUUAGCAACCAAGAAGAACACAAAAACAGGGGAAAAACACAACUCCGUUUUUUCUUCUUCUUCUUCUGAUCCUCAGUUGCUUUCAAAUUCUCUUUUGAAUCUGUUGUAUUGAUCGGUGAGAGACACUCUACAUAACCAAUUUUUCAACGGUUGAUUUUGUCUUCAUCAAUUUUUUCAAUUUGAGAUUGUUUAUUUGGAUGAUCAGGUCGGAGAUUUACUCUGUUUUGGUUUUUGUAUGAUAGGCUUUUGUAUGCUCGAUUGAUCGAUCCUUAAAUCAUAAAGGAUCUUCAUUUCAGGUUUGGCCUCAAAACCCUAUGUUGCUUCUUCUUGAUCUAUAUAUAUCUUAAUGUUCUAUGGUCUCAGCUUCUGUUCUUUGCUACUACGUCUACACUCAGUUUCUUAGUAAAAGAGAAGUUAUCACAGAGUUACAAUGGUUCUGAAUAAGCCAUCUAUUGAAUACAACAGUAGUUUCUUACUUACCUGGAAAGAAAAUAUACACAAGACAAUAACUAACCCUAAUGCAAUGGUGCUGCUUGCAUUCAAUAGUCUUGUUCUCAUUGUCCCAGUAAGUGAACUCGAACAGAACCUUGCUCAUGGUCACAUCCACUUCGUUAAAUAUUUAUGCUUUGUUGAUGAUACAAGUCACCACCAAAUUAUAAAAACAGAUGUUCUGAUAGAGAACGAGUUGACACAUCUGAUUAAAGACAUGCGGGAUUACUCUUCUUGAUUCGUCUAGUUUCACACAGUUGCAGGAAUAACAAUAGAAUCUCUUCAAUGAUUCACACUUUGCUUACAUUUUCGACACUCAACGGACUCCAAAAGAUCGAUAUGUGACACAGAGUUUUCUGCAUUUGUGGAUGCUACGUUCUUUUUAAGACUUUUCGUUGCUGCUACUCUGAGUUUUAUCCAUCAAAUCCAUGCACUGCACUCAAUGAUCUGACAUAUUUACUGCUUGUGACAUUUUCAUCUUUAGAGAUCCGAGCGGCUCCAUCCUCAAUCGCAUUUGAUUCUUCUGUGUUUCUGGGACAACUUAGUGUGAAAAAUAAAGUGAUGUUUCACGGUGGAGCUUUUUGUCUUCUUUUUCUUAGACCAACAACCUGUGUGUUUAGCGUUAUCCACAUUCUCAACAUUUUGGUAGCCAAUGUUGCCUACGGCUUCAGGUUCACAGUCCAAAUAUUCAUCAUAUCCUUCUUUCAAGAUCUGUAUACCACACUCAAUAAUCUUGUUGUUAUCUGAGCAAGUGAAUUCGAACAGAAUCUCGCUUUGUGAGUGUACUCCACAGAGAGUUCUUUUCCGGGUAAGCAGACAUAUUUGGCUUUCAAAUGGUGUAUGAUUUCUCUUCAAAGGCUCGCCUACUAAAUUAAACCAACUACUACUUGGUCUUGGACAUAUCAAAAUUCAGUAAGAUAUAUGUAAAAACUUACUGUUCCGUUUCCUAGUACAUUGAGAAUGUCUUCAGUUUCUAUUAAGAAAAUGGUGUUUAUUGGCAUUUCCAUAUUUCGUAAAGAUUUGCUGUUUAUUGUUGGUUUGGUUGGUUGCUGCUACUAUUAGUUUAAAACGGAUCAAAUUCGGGUUUAUUGGCAUUUCCAUAUUUCGGGUUUCCAAAUUGGUUGGUUGGAGUUAUCCGAGAUACGGAGAUGCCAAUAAACGUCAAUUUUUAAUGGAGUAGAGAUAGUGAUGCCAAAUUGGGUGCAUCACCAUCUCUUGAUGCGAGCAAGACGAAGAAGGAGAAGAAGCCAUGAAAGAUAUGGUAAGCUUUGAUAUGGACGAUGAAGGUAUCACAACUGUUUUGGAUAAGCUAUCUACGGAACUGAUAUUUCAAAGGACUUUGUCCUCCUUGUAUAGAAAAAUACAAAAACAAAAUGUUUCCCCCAAAGUCGGUGAGGACCCCAUCCAUCCAUAAGGUUUGAUUUCGUUAAGAUUUGCUGUUUAUUAUUGGUUUGGUUUGGUUGCUGCUACUAUUAGUUUCAUAGUAAAAGAGAUGUUGAAAAAGUUAUCACAGAGUUUGCAAUUGUUCUGAAUAAGCCUAUGUAGCAGAACAAUGAAAGCAACUCUCUGUGAAGAAUUAAGAAAAUUGGAGCUAGGGGAUCAGAUAUUCCAGUCUCUCUACAGAUUUGGUCAUUUGGAUAAUCAGAAAUGUACACAAUUAUGUUUGCUCAUCAGUCAAAGCUUUGCUUCAUGUCCUUCACAAGUUUUCUCGAAUGCGUUGACAAGAUAACAAAACUUCUCUUAGUACUUAAACAGCUAACUAACUAGAUCACAAAAUAACAAGACUUUUCUUAGUACUUAAACAGCUAAUUAAGAAAUAAAUACAAGGCUUUGUCUAUUAAACCAAAACGGUAUAACUCAUACUGUCGUACAGAACCUAGUGUAGCGACAAUAUUGGGAUAUGCUUUGUCUACUACUAAUCACACUCACAAAGGUUUUGCAAAACAAAACAGAUUUUUGCUCAUGGAUUCUGUAAAUCCCAAUUAAUCUCCUACUAAUUUCUCUACUCUAAGAGUAUUAGCGUGUUACCAUAUCCACAAUAACAAAGCUUAAAGACAAGAGGUCUAUACUUAACAGAUUUGCCAAGAGGUAUCACUCAUUCACUCAUUAAAGAAAAAGAGGUGUAACUCAUUCAGUCAUAUACUAAGCUUAUAGACAAGAGGUGUGACUCAUUCAAAUUCACAAACUCACAAAGGUUUUGCAAGACAAACAGAUUUUUUUGUAAAUCCCAAUUAAUCUCCAUACCUCCUUAUACACAUUCGUUUGCAUUUAAGGACUUGAGCUACAGGGGAAGAGCCGGCACUGUCACGAGUUUCGGGUUACUUGAUUAGAUGUUUUCAAUUUCAGAGAACUUGAAACCUUCUGCGUCAUAGUCUCCAUCUCCAUCUCCAACUUCAUAUCCAUCUGUGAGGUGAUUAUCGUCACCUCCAGUUUCCUAAUAAUCCACUUUGCUGCUGCUACUCUCAGUUUCACAGAUGUCCCCUUUGUCAGAACUCCACUCUGUCGUAUUCAUCUUCUUCUCUUUUAGACCAAAAAAAUUCUGAAGCCAACUCCUAAAACCUAUUUGUUUACUGGUUUUGAUGUUUUCAUCUCCAUUUCCAUCUUCGCUGCUGCUACUCUCAGUUUCAUGGCUGUCCACUUCGCUGCUGCUACUCUCAGUUUCAUAGUUGUCCAACUCCCUGAUGCUGCUACCCUCAGCUUCCUCUGUCAUGAUCUGUACACCACACUCACUAAUCUUGGCAUUGCCGACAUUGAAGCUGAACUCAAAUAUAAUCUCGCUCAUGGUCACAUCCACUUCAUGGCAUUUGUUUCCUUGGGGAAACAAAUCGCCAUGAAAUAUAAACAGAUGUUUUGACCGAAAAGACAAAGACAGAUAUUCAAACUCGUAGCUAUGAACUGUAACACCUCCUUUGCUUCUGAUACUACAACUUAUAGUUCUUAAUCCGGCGUACUCAACUGGCAAAAUGAGAAUGGAAGCCUUAAACCUUGAGGAAGCAGAGAGAGUACCCGGAGCCAGAGGGAUGGUUAUGGAUCUCCCUGUUGCUUUGUGAGUGAAAUCUGCAGGGAUGUUUUUACCUGGUAACCAUUUAUACAUGCCAACUGAUUGUUGUAUGAUUCCUCUUCUUGAUUCUUUAUCCAGUUUCAAACAGUUGCUGCCACUCUCAGUUUCAUGGCUGUCCACUUCGCUGCUACUACUCUCAGUUUCAUGGCUGUCCAAUUCCCUGAUGUUGCUACCCUCAACUUCCUCUCUCAUGAUCUGUACACCACACUCAAUAAUCUUGUCAUCGCCGAAAUCGCAGCUGAACUCAAAUAUAAUCUCGCUCAUGGUCACAUCGGCUUCAUGGCAUUUGUUUCCUUGGGGAAACAAAUCAUCAUGAAAUAUAAACAGAUGUUCUGACCGAAAAGACAAAGACAGAUGUGGACACUCGCAUCUAUGAACUGUAACACCUCCUUUGCUUCUUAUACUACAGCUUAUACGUUUAUAUCCGUAGUCUUUAACUGGGGAAAUGAGAAGGCAAGCCUUAAACCUUGAGGAAGCAGAGAGAGUACCCGGAGCCAGAGGGAUGGUUAUGGAUCUCCCUGUUGCUUUGUGAGUGAACUCUGCAGGGAUUUUUUUACCUGGUAAGCAUACACAAUCGUAAAUUGAUUUUUGUAUGAUUCCUCUUCUCGAUUCUUUAUCCAGUUUAAAACAGUUUCUGAAACUGAGUCUCUCGGUUGGGUUAUGGAAAGAGAAGCAUACUCUCUCGAGUGAUACACAAUCGUCUGCUCUUAGGUCACGGAGGGAGGGGGGAAGACCCGGAAUUGACUCGAGUUUUGUGCACCUUUUGACAGAAAGCCAUUCUAGACGAGUGAGACAUAUGACGCAAUCUGGAAUCGUCUCUAUAUCACUGCCAUUAAGAAUUAGGUCAGUUAUAAAGAGUGGUACAUGUGUCAAUCUCUUGAGGCUGCUGCUGCAAAUGUUGAGGCGAUCAAGACGAGACAAACAUCCAGCAACUGAUGGAGGGACAUCUUCUAUAUCUGUAUCUCCGAGAUUGAGAACCUUGAUGUUACUGGAGAUUUCUGGAAAAGUUCUCAACCGUGAGCAACCAUUCAUGGUGAGUAUCUUAAGAGAUGCUAAGUUGAUGUUGCUGGGAAUAACUUGUAGCAUACAGCAAAAACCAACAUCUAGAAUCUUUAGUUUUUGUAGAUUCUUAAUAGAAGAUGGAAGCUCCACCAAACGAUUGCAGCCCUUAAGUGUCAAUUUCUCGAGAUUAGUAGAUUUUGAAAGAUUUGGGAUUUCUUUCAAUUGACGGGAACACAUCAGAUCUAUGAUCUUGAGAUUAGGAAGGGACUGCAUGUUAAAUGAGAAAUAUUUCUUAUUUAAAUUGAAUCAUUAGAAGCACUAGAAAGAAUAUCGAAUACCAAACCUGGAUUCCUCCCCAGAGCUUCUUAAUUUUGCUGUAUGGCAUAUGGAGUUCCAUGAGACGUUCCGGCUGAAACCUCCGAGGAAGACUUGUUCUUGGGUAAAAUUCCCAAUGUAGUAACCUAAGAAGAGGUAAAUAAUCCAAAUCUUCUGGUAUUUGCAAAGUACCUUCGCCGCCAAACCAACGCCUAAAGAUUCUUAGGAAUCGGAGAUUACGCAUUCCUUCAAAAGCCCCUUUACCUACAGAAACCUCUCCGAUAUUGGAUGUAUCAAAUGAUAUACCUAUGACUGAUCCAGUACCCUACAAAAUAACAUUGCCAAUGACUGAUGAAAUUGUUAUCACUAAAAAUAGGCAAUAUACAUGUAAGAACUUAAACUUACUGUUUCGGUUGUCAGUACAUCACAAAUCUCAUCGGCCUCAGUUAAAAAUUGACGUUUCCCGGGCUCGUCAGACUGUUCAUGAACUAUCUGUCUACCCAAUUGUUGUAGUAGAUGGUGCAUCACUAUAUGGUCAUAGGUAGAUUUAUGCACGAGAGAUUUAUCGGCUAGGGUCUCUAACCCAUUCCUAACAUCCAAGUUACUAUCAGAAAGCACAGAUAUCACAUUAUCAACGACUUCAUUGUUGAAGACGCAUGCAAUGUGAAGGAAUAGAGAUUGAUUUUUCUUCGACAAUCUGUCAUAUCCCACUUUCAAAAUGUCUUCAACUUUUCCAUCAAGACUUCCAUCAAUUCUAGAUAAUUGAAGUUCCCACACGUGCUUGCUCUGCCCACGCAAAGAUGAACCCACGACACAAAGGCCUAAUGGAAGCUUACCGCAAAGCUUUGCUACUUUAUUGGCAAGCUCUUCAAAACCAUCUGGUACAGAGCUUUGUUUGAAAGCAGAGAGACAUAAGAUCUCAAGAGCUUCUUCCAUGGACGGAAAAUCCACAUGGUAGAUAUCGUUGAUCCCAUGUGCCUCCAAAAUCUUCUUAUCUUCUGUGGUAACGAUGAUCCGGCUUCCAGAACCAAACCAAGAAGGUUCUUUAGCCAAUACCUCUAAUUGCUCUAGAUCAUCUACAUCAUCAAGAAUGAUGAGCACUCUUUGAUAUUGUAGCCAUUCUUUGAUUGCACCUAAAUGACGUAUUUUCAUAUUCUCUUGGUUCAAAAUCUUAGACAGAAGUUGGUUUUGCAACCACAACUUGGAAUCAUGGUCAUCAACACCCAUUCUGCUCUUAAGACUACCCUUGAGGUUCCCCAUAAAACAUUUAAGUUGAAAAUUGCUAGAGAGUUGGUUGUCUAAAGCUCUAGCAAUGGUGGACUUACCAAUCCCUGCAGGACCCCAAAUCCCAAUCAUCUUGACUUCAUCACUUUCCAAGCAUAACAAAGAGUUCAAUUUUGCCAAGUGAGCUUCAUGUCCCACCAUCCCGUCAAAAUCCUUCGACGGUGUAAGAUUAAGUUUGUUUGAAACAUCGGUAGCAAUCUUUUUAAUCAUAUCUGCUUCAUUAGCCCUAACAAAAGCAAAACAAAAUCAUGUUGGUGGGUCGAAAUUACAAAAAUUUGAAGCACUAAUUCAUUCAGAGACAAAAAAAAAAAGAAAAAAAAAAAAAAGAAGAAGAUAAAAACAAGAUACCAAUUAAGAGAAUGUUCUCCUUCUAUGUUUGCAGCAUGAGUCAAAGCAUUGCUCCAACUCUGCUUCGUCUCCUCACUUUUCCCUUCACAAGUCUUCAUGAAUGCGGUUCCGAAAUCUCCCUUCUGUUUCCGUACACUCGACGGAUCAACGUCAUAGAAGAUGGUCAUCACGAUCUGCCCCUGAUCUUCUUUGCACUUGAAGAUUUCCACAAGUUCAUCUAAACACCAGCUCGAAGAAGCGUACUUCUUCGAGAGCAGCACGAUCGAGACUCGAGAUUCUCUAAUCGCUUGUACGAGCUCAGGUUUAAUCGUGUGGCCUCUCUCGAUCUCCUGAUCUUUAAACGUCGUGAUCCCUUUGCUUGCGAAGUGAUCGUGUAAAUGACUGAGAAACCCUCUACGA